AUGAGCGGGUUUGGGGAGAUAAUCGCGAGCGCCGUGGGGAAACAAGUCGCGGGCAAGCUCGGUGAACUCGCCACAGAGGAGGCCACCCUGCAGUGGAAGUUCAAGGACGAUGUUGAUGUCAUGGCGGACAAGAUGCAAGAUCUGGAGGCCGUUUUGCAUGAUGCGGAUGAUAGGCUGCGUCGACGAGGAAGAGAUGGGGAAGCUGUUGGGCGGUGGCUCACCAAAUUCAAGUCCGUCGCCUACGACGUCGAGGACGUGCUGGACGAUCUGGACGCCACCGAGCUCUUAAAGAAGAGCCAACCAAAGGCCGGUACACCUACAUAUUCUACAUCAGCUAGCCUAUCCCGGAAGAGGUCACACUAUCUACUCAACUAA
rnacentral:rRNA from 1 species